AGGUUGCCAUAAAUUGGAAAAAAUUAGUGUCAACUUAGGAAUGUUUAAAAGCAAGAAAUUUGAAUAAUGAAGGCAUUAAGGAAGAAUUUAUCCAGAUGGAUCAUGAAACUUAACGCCAAAUCUUAGGACUUUCUUGAAAGAAUAAGAACUUGGCAUCUAAAAAGUUGGUCGGGGAUUUGAAAAACAAUUAUGCUAUUAUGCCAGGAUUUGAACUCUAAUCAUACGUAAAGCAUCAGAAACUUUAUAUAUAUCUAGAACUAAUUACAGGCUCUACAAUGUAACAUAUACAGUAAGCCUUACGCAAGCUCUGCUUCGUAUUGUGGUAAGCCAUCCACGAUGACAUGGCUCUAAAUAUUUACCAAACACCUUAUAAUUGUAGAUUAAAUUAAAAACUACGGCGAUUAGACAUCAAUUUCAUUUAAUUAACUAAUUAAGCAGUAAUCAAAACUACCUAGGACAUAAAGAACAAAAUCGAUGGCCGUAAUUGACACACAAUCUGUUUAUUAUAUCCAAUCUUCUUGUAAUGGAUAGAGAAUAACUUCUGCUGAUGUAUAUCAACAUAUCAUUUUCUUGAGCGAACAUAUACCUAUUAAUUAUAUAUAUACGUUGGAAUUUUUUUGUGAUAGUUGACCUUUCAAGUACAUGCAAAUGCAAUCCUUAUCACACAAAUUAAGACUAUCCAUUUGUAUGAUCGUAUCUUCAACUUGAGUUCUUGAAUUCUAUAUUUGGCAUCUUUGCUUCCAUGCCCUUGUGACAUAACAUUGGGGGAAUUGAUUCCUUUUAAUUGAAAUUAAUAAGUAAUUAAUACUACUAGAAAUGGGACUAAAAGUGUUUCUUGGCAACGAAAUCACAAUCUGUAUAAGCAUAAAUAAUGAUCUCACUUAUUCGAGGUCUGCAAAGUAAUUGGUGUCACUUUUUAAUUUAUUAUCUAUUUAUGUAAUUAUUUUUUUACAAUAACUGCACGGUAGUUAAACGUGUGAGGGACUGAGUGGAGAAUAUAUGCUUUGCUUUUUCCAGUCAACAGUAGCAAAGAGACAAGUUUACAAUUUUACAAGAUUCUCAAACAAUUCUUGUGAGCAAUAGUGGCAAUGUAGUUUCAUUUUCUUUUGGUACAAAGAAACAUCUGGAAUAUUCCAAUUUUAUUAGAUAUUGCAACUGAUGAGUUUUGUGGCAAGUGCUCACAUCCAGUCGUCUGUAGCCACCAAUUUUUGUACUUGCAAUACUGGGAUAUCAUUCUUUUAAUUUCUUCUCUCAGUAACAUCUCUUUAUUUUUUUUUUCUUUUUUUUUUCCCUCUCUUGGGUAUAAUUUGUUUUCUUUUUCCUACGGUCCUUGUCUUGAAGAACUUUCUCUCUUUUCUCUGGCUGAUCUGGCUGUACUUGAAAGCUGUUGAUCAUGAGUCUUCAAUCUGAAUCAAUUGGAUGUGUGAUCCUUGCACAUAACGUAAUUUACAUAAAAUGUUACAAAUCUAAAAGAAAUGAAUUGUGCGGUAAACAAUUUAAACACAAAAUGAAUUAUAUCAUUAAACCUUAUUCCUUAAUAAUUAAAGAGGUGACAACCCACCACCAAGUCCUUAACAAACAUGUCAAGGUCUAAAAUAACCCUUUUACUUUAUAUAAGUCAA
rnacentral:lncRNA from 1 species